rnacentral:rRNA from 1 species
GACGAACGCUGGCGGCGUGCUUAACACAUGCAAGUCGAACGGUGAUGCGGAGCUUGCUCCGCGGAUCAGUGGCGAACGGGUGAGUGACACGUGAGUAACCUGCCCUGGACUCUGGGAUAAGCGUUGGAAACGACGUCUAAUACCGGAUAUGACUUCGGAACGCAUGUUCUGGAGUGGAAAGAAUUUCGGUCUGGGAUGGACUCGCGGCCUAUCAGCUUGUUGGUGGGGUGAUGGCCUACCAAGGCGACGACGGGUUGCCGGCCUGAGAGGGUGACCGGCCACACUGGGACUGAGGCACGGCCCAGACUCCUACGGGAGGCAGCAGUGGGGAAUAUUGCACAAUGGGCGCAAGCCUGAUGCAGCAACGCCGCGUGAGGGAUGACGGCCUUCGGGUUGUAAACCUCUUUUGGCAGGGAAGAAGCGAAAGUGACGGUACCUGCAGAAAAAGCACCGGCUAACUACGUGCCAGCAGCCGCAGUAAUAC